rnacentral:lncRNA from 1 species
GUUGUAAGUUAGAGGCCAGUCUGGGCAAAUUAACAAGAAACAAAAAAAAUAAAAAUAAAAAGAGCUGGAGAUAUAGCUCAGUGGCAUAAUGUCCCUGGAUUCAGCUCAAUCCCUGGUGCCACAUAUACACAAAGUACCAGCUCUCUUCAAAAUACUCUCCUCAACUCACAGGAACGUGAUGCUCUGUGGUUCACAGUGUGCUUACACAACUCCUCCUGCCAGUCACGACAGCCCUAUUUUGAAGAUGAAGAUAAGACUCAGGCAAAAAGGAUUCUUACAAGACCAUGAGGCAGGACUCACCAAGCCUUCUAACUUAGAGACACAGUUCUCACUUCCCCCAGGGGCCUCCCUUGUCCUGGUCUGUGUUUCCUUGACUCUGGACACCAGCAAAUAGUGACUGGAAUUCUUAGAAACUCCCCUACCUUUGACCUUCUGUCCCUGACCAGAGACUCCCUCAUCUCUUGGUUGUCUACUCCUGAAGUCCACACUGCAGGUCCCUCGGGGGCUUCCAUGACAACCUCUAUCCUUUCUCUUCUGUCCUCUCAAUCUUCAGCACAUCCAUCUAUGAUAGGCACUAUCAUCAUUCUCCCCAUUCCAUGACUGAGGAGACCGCUGUCACAGGGUGAGGAAGCUGCUCAAGAUGGUCCCAGGCAUAUGGGAGGGAAGGGGGAUUUGGACUCUGAGCCACAAUUAACACCUGCUUCCCUGAGGUAUGCUGGAGCCAGGUUGGACUCUGGGGAAGGAUCAGGAAUGAGCCAGAUGUCUCCCAGAAAUCCUUGAGGCCAUCUCUGACAGUGAAAGCCAUGCACAGAACAAGAAUUCAGGGCAGGCCGGGAUGGGGGCUGGACCUAGAGGUGCAAACCCUGGGGGAGCCUCGAGGAAGGAGGAGAGAGAAAUUCCUGGGAAUUUGCUAAAAAUAAAGAUGUUUCAGACCCCAUCCUCAGAGAUGAGACUACAUUAAGCUGGGCAGGAGUCCAGGCAGCCAUCGGUUCAGUAAGCCCCCAGGUUAGGGAGUCCUGCCUAGAGCAUCACUGUCCCGGUUCCCACGGUCACACAGGGAGCCAACCUCAGGCUCCCCACUUCCCCAUCCUCUCCCCUGACUCAGCUAGAUCAAUAUUGACCAUCAGCCCCUCCCCUGCCUCUAAACUCCUGCCAACCCAAGCCCAGAAGCUCUCUGAGACCCUGACCAUGGUCAGUAAAGUCAAGGUCAAAGCAAAGCUUAGGGUUCAGAUGGUUUUCCUUUUUUUAAUAUUUAUUUUUAAAUUAUAGGUGGACACAAUAUCCUUAUUUUAUAUUUAUGUGGUGCUGAGGAUCGAACCCAGAGUCUCACACGUGCNAGGCAGUUCUGGACGCCCUUCUAGGGCAGGACCAGCAUCAGCGAGGCCUCAGUCCCCAGAGGGAGUGGCCUGUGGCUAAAGGAGCCAAACUUUCCAUGAGCCACCAGCAAAAAAUGAGUCUGGAAAAAGUGGCCACCGCAGACCCUGAGGCUGCACAACCCAGGUCACAUGAGAUUCAGAGGGGACUGCAACUGUCUUAACUCUUUGCUGGUUGCCCCCAGAGCCACCAGAGAACUGUGCUUGAUUUGCCACUUCCUCGUGCAGAGGUGUGAGUGACAAGUCUCUGUUCUGGAAGAGUUGGUGGUGGGGCAGAGACCAUGGACACAAAUGGGUUCCUUCAAUUAAUAGAUGUGGGUCUUAUGCCACCAAGACCCAGGCCAGUGCAGAGGCCCAGAACAUUAUCCCCACCCCCUUAUGAGAUUGCUACAGAGGAGGAAAAGGAAAACUUUGAAGAAACUACAGUUUAGACAAGUGAAGUGACCCCCGCCUGGAUUGCAUGGCUCAGGAGGGAGGAGCUGAGAGUGGGCCUAGGUCUGUGGCUAGACCAUCUGAGCCCUCUGCACAAUCUCCUGCUGCCACCCUGGGCUCUGAGUUCCCAGGAACGUGAUCAAAGAGUCUUAACUACACAGAAAGAAGAUGCAUUGUCUCUGAAAUAUGGGAGUGCCCUUUCCGGGCAAGGUUGGGCCAUCGGGACUCACCAGAUAUAGGGCUGAGUCAGACCCCCUGAAGAUUCUAGGAGUCCACAGCUGGUUGGGAACUGAGGAAGGCUUAUGGAGGAGGUGUCUUCAGGAGGUAUCUAAAAGGAUGGCUAGGAUUCUAGCGGGUGGAUGGGAAGACAUGGGGUCAGGGAGGAAGCAGGAUCGCGUGGGCCUGCUUAGGGUAUAGCGAGGACUUGAACCUGGUUAGGGUAGUGGAGGGGAGCCCAGAGGGUGGAGCCUGCAGAGGACCAAACACUAAUGUAACCAGUGUGACUCCUGGUGUCUGUUGACCCUCGCCUGACCUUGGGAAUCUGGCUGUCCCUAAUGGAGUGGUAAGGAGCCCCUCCCCCUCCU